GCGCGAAAACUUUGCAAUGCGGGAAACCGUGACAAGGGAACCCCGAGUGCCCGUAAAUUCGGGCUGUUCCGGUGUACAAAAAGCACCGGGAGAAAGGGCCGGGCAAGACCGGUGCCAGCCGCCGCGGUAAUACCGGCGGCUCGAGUGGUGGCCACUAUUACUGGGCUUAAAGCGUUCGUAGCUGGAUUGUUAAGUCUCUUGGGAAAUCUACCGGCUUAACCGAUAGGCGUUCAAGAGAUACUGGCAAUCUAGGGACCGGGAGAGGUGAGAGGUACUCCAGGGGUAGGA
rnacentral:rRNA from 1 species